GACGAACGCUGGCGGCGUGCUUAACACAUGCAAGUCGAACGGAAAGGCCCUGUCUUUUUGGGGUGCUCGAGUGGCGAACGGGUGAGUAACACGUGAGUAACCUGCCCUUGACGUUGGGAUAACUUCAGGAAACUGGGGCUAAUAUCGGAUAGGAGCUCCUGCUGCAUGGUGGGGGUUGGAAAGUUUCGGCGGUAGGGGAUGGACUCGCGGCUUAUCAGCGUGUGGGUGGGGUAGUGGCUUACCAAGGCCUUGACGGGUAGCCGGCCUGAGAGGGUGACCGGCCACCUUGGGCCUGCGAUAGGGCCCAGACUCCAACGGGAGGCAGCGGUGGGGAAUAUUACACAAUGGGCGGAAGCCUGAUGCAACAACGCCGCGUGCGGGAUGACGGCCUUCGGGUUGUAAACCGCUUUCGCCUGUGACGAAGCGUGAGUGACGGUAAUGGGUAAAGAAGCACCGGCUAACUACGUG
rnacentral:rRNA from 1 species